AGCCGGGUAUGCUGGCAGGUGACUGCACCAUAAAAAAUGUUCAAGAUUAAACAGGGGGACGGUGAGGUAACCCAGAAAUAAGCAACAGCAGAAAGCGCCACCACCACAAAACCAGGAGAGGAAGAUGUGGUUUCUGGAGCCUGGGAGCUGGUGAGAGCCAGAAACUCAUAGGAGGGAAAGAAGUGCUGCAGACAUGGUCCCCAGCAGAGCGAGGCGGGGAAGAGCCCAGCCUGUCCCCCGCUCCAGGCUCUAUCUCCCACCAGUGCCUCCCACGGGCUGAGCCCAACAGGGACAGGCUGAUGAAGCCCAGGCAAUGGUGCCUUACUGGGUGGAUCGAAGGAGGGACAGGGUGCAGGUGUGGGUGCCCACCCUGGCUUGGCCUCUUCUCACCUGGGUGGCUUCGGACACAGGGUGGACUCCUCAAAGGGGCUGCUUCCCAUCUGAGAAGCCAGCAUAAUCCUCCAGGGGCUACUGAUAUACACACGCUGCCCCUGGUCCUGAGUUAGAUCACCCUGCCCCUAGGGAGGGCUUGGGGGCUUCACUGCUGAAGUUCAGACUCCAGGGUGGUCCUUGUCCUGUGUGCCUCAGUUUCCCCAUCUGUAAAAUGGAUGGUCCUGGGGCUGAGCCUCAGUGCUGCAGGGACUAGUGUGGAACCCUGUGUCCUGGUGCCUGAAACCUUACUCCCACCUCAGCAGGGCUGGGCUGAGCCAUCAGCAAGCCUCUGGCCGGCCUCCAUCAUUCAGGAAAGAGCCGGUGGCUGAAGGCACAGCUCUCAGAGGGAGAACAAACGGGGGCGGGGGUGGGAUGGGGGCGGGGCCGGAGGCCACCGGCCUCAGGCUGUCCUGGGCAUCCAGCCAGUGCUGGGCAGUGAGUCAGGGGCCAGGCAUGUGGAGUGGGGCCUCUCCCAGCCCCGGAGAUCAGGCACCUCCCGGAACCCGCCUGCUGGGCCCCCACCAGGCCGCGUUCCUCUCCCACUCGCUCUCCCCAUAGAGGGGACCCUGGACCUGCCUGGGGGGGACGAGGAUGGGGAUGUGGCUGGUGGGCACAGGGCCUCUCUGAGCCCCGGCACAGGCCGCCUGAUGGGACCGUCUCUUCCUUGGGGAAACUGAGGCCCAGGUUGCUGGGGUGGAGGGGAUGUGGAGUGACAGGGCAGGGCAAUGGCUCCUCGGCCCCCUCCGGGAACAAAGCCAGGUCAUUCCUGUGGGGAGGGAGCGCCAACCCCAGGGUUGGGGGGGGCACGGGCCCUGGGUCAGGGGUACAGAUAAGCCUGGGCUCCCAGAACCCUUGUCACAGCGGCACCCCUGCCCCAUGCCUGCUUUCUCUCCAGGGCACUCAGAGCUGCAGUUUGCAGGACGAGAGGGAGACGUGCCCAAUCCCCCCAUCCCAGGACGCUCAGCCGUGCGUGGGCUGGGCCCACUCCACUCCCGGCGCCCACAGUUGCCCCAGUGAACCGGCCAGUGGAGGCAUCCUGUCCCGUGUGCGGGAAAGGAAUGACCGCCAAGGUGACAGCAGCGCUUAGCCAACCCUGGCGCUGACACCUGACUUGCAAACUGCUCCCUGCCUGAGGCUUCAAGGCAGGCGAGAGGCUUUGUGUGUGUGACUUCCUCCCCGAAGGGACACUGGCAACAGCUGGAGACAUUUCCUGUUGUUAAGGCUGAGGGGGAGCUGCUGGCAUUUGGUGGGUGGAGGCCAGGGAUGACGUUAACUGUUCUACUACGCCCAGGACAGCCCCCAACACACACAACAGCCUGGCCCAAUGUCACGAGAGCUGAGGUGGAACAGCCCUGUUCUGCUUCAGGUCUUCAGGUCUUUGGGGGUCAAGGAUGCAAAUAGAGGACUCUGCUCCCAAUUCAGCUCACAUAAAAGAACCGGCCGGGCGCUGUCGCUCAUGCCUAUAAUCCCAGCGCUUUGGGAGGCCGAAGUGGGAGGAUCGCUUGAGCCCAGGAGUUUGAGACCAGCCUGGGUAACAUAGCAAGAUCCCAUUUCUACGAAAGUACAAAAAUUACCUGGGCACGGUGGCAUGCACCUGUAGUCCCAGCGGCUUGGGAGGCUGAGGUGGGAAGUUUGCUUGAGCCCAGGAGGUUGAGGCUGCAGUGAGCCGAGAUCAUGCCAGUGCACUCCAGCCUCGGCGACAGAGUUAGACUCUAUCUCAAAAAAGAAAAAAGAGAGAAAACCCACCAACUUGGAAAAUUAAAACAGCCCCAAGGGCAUCUAGGAACAGUUAACUGCACAUCUAAACCCAGGCCCGCCGUUCUUAGAAGCUCUGCAAGCUGCAUGGACUGACUCCUGACAUUUCAGGGCUAGACUCAAAAAUCCCUUUAAAAAAAUUUUGUUUCUGAGACGGAGUUUCACUCUUGUCCAAGCUGGAGUGGAAUGGCACGAUCUCGGCUCACUGCAACCUCCACCUCCUGGGUUCAAGUAAGUCUCCUGCCACAGCCUCCAGAGUAGCUGGGAUUACAGGUGCCCGCCACCAUGCCUGGCUAACUUGUAUUUUUAGUAGAGAUGGGGUUUCACC
rnacentral:lncRNA from 1 species